AGUUUGAUCCUGGCUCAGGAUGAACGCUGGCGGCGUGCCUAAUACAUGCAAGUCGAACGCACAGCGAAAGGUGCUUGCACCUUUCAAGUGAGUGGCGAACGGGUGAGUAACACGUGGACAACCUGCCUCAAGGCUGGGGAUAACAUUUGGAAACAGAUGCUAAUACCGAAUAAAACUCAGUGUCGCAUGACACAAAGUUAAAAGGCGCUUUGGCGUCACCUAGAGAUGGAUCCGCGGUGCAUUAGUUAGUUGGUGGGGUAAAGGCCUACCAAGACAAUGAUGCAUAGCCGAGUUGAGAGACUGAUCGGCCACAUUGGGACUGAGACACGGCCCAAACUCCUACGGGAGGCUGCAGUAGGGAAUCUUCCACAAUGGGCGAAAGCCUGAUGGAGCAACGCCGCGUGUGUGAUGAAGGCUUUCGGGUCGUAAAGCACUGUUGUAUGGGAAGAACAGCUAGAAUAGGGAAUGAUUUUAGUUUGACGGUACCAUACCAGAAAGGGACGGCUAAAUACGUGCCAGCAGCCGCGGUAAUACGUAUGUCCCGAGCGUUAUCCGGAUUUAUUGGGCGUAAAGCGAGCGCAGACGGUUGAUUAAGUCUGAUGUGAAAGCCCGGAG
rnacentral:rRNA from 1 species